CCGGCGACUGUUGCUGCGCACAAGCUGAAGCGGUGAUAAGGCCGACAAGUACCCAUCGAAAGCUGAGGUGGAGGGCCAGACAUCGGCCACGGCAGCAGAGUCCUUAUGUGUCNNNNNNNNNNUAUACGAUUGUAUAUACAAAAAUAAUAUCAGAUCAUGCAAAUCCGCCCCAACGGAAUCAAUCUCUCCGGGUUCGGCCUUCACAAGCGGGUCAGCCCCGGAGUGGAGAACAGAGGCGAGAGUGUCGAGAACGAGCCUAGCAUGGUCG
rnacentral:misc_RNA from 1 species